rnacentral:rRNA from 1 species
UACGGAGGAUGCAAGUGUUAUCCGGAAUCACUGGGCGUAAAGCGUCUGUAGGUGGUUCAAUAAGUCAACUGUUAAAUCUUGAGGCUCAACUUCAAAAUCGCAGUCGAAACUAUUAAACUAGAGUAUAGUAGGGGUAAAGGGGAAUUUCCAGUGGAGCGGUGAAAUGCGUAGAGAUUGGAAAGAACACCAAUGGCGAAAGCACUUUACUGGGCUAUUACUGACACUGAGAGACGAAAGCUAGGGUAGCAAAUGGG